GACGAACGCUGGCGGCGUGCUUAACACAUGCAAGUCGAACGGAAAGGCCCUGCUUUUGUGGGGUGCUCGAGUGGCGAACGGGUGAGUAACACGUGAGUAACCUGCCCUUGACUUUGGGAUAACUUCAGGAAACUGGGGCUAAUACCGGAUAGGAGCUCCUGCUGCAUGGUGGGGGUUGGAAAGUUUCGGCGGUUGGGGAUGGACUCGCGGCUUAUCAGCUUGUUGGUGGGGUAGUGGCUUACCAAGGCUUUGACGGGUAGCCGGCCUGAGAGGGUGACCGGCCACAUUGGGACUGAGAUACGGCCCAGACUCCUACGGGAGGCAGCAGUGGGGAAUAUUGCACAAUGGGCGGAAGCCUGAUGCAGCAACGCCGCGUGCGGGAUGACGGCCUUCGGGUUGUAAACCGCUUGCGCCUGUGACGAAGCGUGAGUGACGGUAAUGGGUAGAGAAGCACCGGCUAACUACGUG
rnacentral:rRNA from 1 species